AUUGAACGCUGGCGGCAUGCCUUACACAUGCAAGUCGAACGGUAACAGGUCUUCGGAUGCUGACGAGUGGCGAACGGGUGAGUAAUACAUCGGAACGUGCCCGAUCGUGGGGGAUAACGAAGCGAAAGCUUUGCUAAUACCGCAUAAGAUCUACGGAUGAAAGCAGGGGACCGCAAGGCCUUGCGCGAACGGAGCGGCCGAUGGCAGAUUAGGUAGUUGGUGGGAUAAAAGCUUACCAAGCCGACGAUCUGUAGCUGGUCUGAGAGGACGACCAGCCACACUGGGACUGAGACACGGACCAGACUCCGACGGGAGGCAGCAGUGGGGAAUUUUGGACAAUGGGCGAAAGCCUGAUCCAGCCAUGCCGCGUGCAGGAUGAAGGCCUUCGGGUUGUAAACUGCUUUUGUACGGAACGAAAAGACUCUUUCUAAUAAAGAGGGUCCAUGACGGUACCGUAAGAAUAAGCACCGGCUAACUACGUGCCAGCCGCCGCGGUAA
rnacentral:rRNA from 1 species